rnacentral:rRNA from 1 species
GACGAACGCUGGCGGCGUGCCUAACACAUGCAAGUUGAGCGGAGGUAAAUGGAGCUUGCUCUAUGAACCUUAGCAGCGAACGGGUGAGUAACACGUAGAUAAUCUGUCCUAUAUUGGGGGAUAGCCCGAUGAAAGUUGGAUUAAUACCGCAUACAGCUAUAUAGUUGCAUGAUUAUAUAGUGAAAGAUUUAUUGAUAUAGGAGGAGUCUGCGGCACAUUAGCUAGUAGGUGAGGUAAGAGCUUACCUAGGCGACGAUGUGUAGCCGGUCUGAGAGGAUGAACGGCCACAAUGGAACUGAGACACGGUCCAUACUCCUACGGGAGGCAGCAGUGGGGAAUAUUGCACAAUGGGGGAAACCCUGAUGCAGCAACGCCGCGUGAGUGAAGAAGGUUUUCGGAUUGUAAAGCUCUGUUAGCAGGGAAGAGGAAGGACGGUACCUGCAGAGGAAGCCACGGCUAACUACGUGCCAGCAGCCGCGGUAAUACGUAGGUGGCAAGUUGUUCGGAAUAACUGGGCGUAAAGGAUGCGUAGGCGGUUAAAUAAGUUAUAUGUUAAAUAUAUAGGCUUAACCUGUAGAAAGCAUAUAAAACUGUUUAACUAGAGUGCAGGAGAGGUAAGUGGAAUUCCUAGUGUAGCGGUGAAAUGCGUAGAGAUUAGGAAGAACACCAGUGGCGAAGGCGACUUACUGGACUGUAACUGACGCUGAGGCAUGAGAGCAUGGGGAGCAAACAGGACUAGAUACCCUGGUAGUCCAUGCUGUAAACGAUGGGUACUAGGUGUGGGUUGUGAAUAACAAUCCGUGCCGUCGCAAACGCAAUAAGUACCCCGCCUGAGGAGUACGAUCGCAAGAUUAAAACUCAAAGGAAUUGACGGGGACCCGCACAAGCAGCGGAGCAUGUGGUUUAAUUCGAAGCAACGCGAAGAACCUUACCUAAACUUGACAUACCCUUGAAUUACCCUUGUAAUGAGGGAAGCUCGCAAGAGCAAGGAUACAGGUGGUGCAUGGUUGUCGUCAGCUCGUGUCGUGAGAUGUUGGGUUAAGUCCCGCAACGAGCGCAACCCUUGUUGUUAAUUGCUAACAGGUUAAGCUGAGCACUUUAGCGAGACAGCCUAGGUUAACUAGGAGGAAGGUGGGGAUGACGUCAAAUCAUCAUGCCCCUUACGUUUAGGGCUACACACGUGCUACAAUGGUGAGAACAAAGAGAAGCAAGCUAGCGAUAGUGAGCAAAACUUAUAAAACUCAUCUCAGUUCGGAUUGCAGGCUGAAACUCGCCUGUAUGAAGAUGGAGUUGCUAGUAAUCGCGAAUCAGAAUGUCGCGGUGAAUACGUUCCCGGGUCUUGUACACACCGCCCGUCACACCAUGAGAGUUGGCAACACCCGAAACCUGUGGGCUAACCGAAAGGAGGCAGCAGUCUAAGGUGGGGUCAGUGAUUGGGGUG